CCCUUAGAUGUUCUGGGCCGCACGCGCGCUACACUGAUUCAUGCAACGAGUUUUGUCCUUGGCUGAAAGGCCUGGGUAAUCUUUGAACGUGAAUCGUGCUGGGGAUAGAUGAUUGCAAUUAUUCAUCUUCAACGAGGAAUUCCUAGUAAACGCAAGUCAUCAGCUUGCAUUGAUUACGUCCCUGCCCUUUGUACACACCGCCCGUCGCACCUACCGAUUGAAUGGUCCGGUGAAAUCUUCGGAUCUGAGAGAUGUUGGAUUAAUUUCUGACGCCUUUUGGAAAAGUCGCUUAAACCUUAUCAUUUAGAGGAAGGAGAAGUCGUAACA
rnacentral:rRNA from 1 species